rnacentral:snoRNA from 1 species
UUUUGAAUGAUUUAAUCAAUUGUUUUAUAACACCACUGAGGAUGUAUAUGCAGGACAUAAAAAUUUAAGGAAUUCUUCGUUUAUGACACUCGAGA